rnacentral:rRNA from 1 species
UACGUAGGGGGCAAGCGUUAUCCGGAUUUACUGGGUGUAAAGGGGGCGCAGACGGCGAUGCAAGCCAGGAGUGAAAACCCGGGGCCCAACCCCGGGAGUGCAUUUGAAACUGCCAUGCUGGAGUGCCGGAGAGGUAAGCGGAAUUCCUAGUGUAGCGGUGAAAUGCGUAGAUAUUAGGAGGAACACCAGAGGCGAAGGCGACUCACUGGACUGUAACUGACGCUGAGGCUCGAAAGCGUGGGGAGCAAACAGG